UCCGGUUUGAAUACAUGUGUUUUCUGACUUUUCGGAUAGCCAACUCUUGUUUUUUGGAACUUACGACUUAUGGCAAGAGAGAAGAAAACUGUGUGACUUUAAAAGAAAACCAGUGAGAUAAAAUUAUAGAAAAUGUAUCAUGAUUCAGGAUGUGGUCAUUUGUGACAUUAAAACAGGAAUUGUCAUCACCAAUAGACGAAUUUCACAU